rnacentral:rRNA from 1 species
UACGUAGGUGGCAAGCGUUGUCCGGAUUUAUUGGGCGUAAAGCGAGUGCAGGCGGCUCGAUAAGUCUGAUGUGAAAGCCUUCGGCUCAACCGGAGAAUUGCAUUAGAAACUGUCGAGCUUGAGUACAGAAGAGGAGAGUGGAACUCCAUGUGUAGCGGUGAAAUGCGUAGAUAUAUGGAAGAACACCGGUGGCGAAGGCGGCUCUCUGGUCUGUUACUGACGCUGAGGCUCGAAAGCAUGGGUAGCGAACAGG